rnacentral:rRNA from 1 species
AUUGAACGCUGGCGGCAUGCCUAACACAUGCAAGUCGUAACGGGUUUUAAGAAAAGCUUGUCUUUUUUUAAAGCUAGUGGCGGACGGGUGAGUAAUGCGUAGGGAUCUGCCCUUUUGUGGGGGACAACCUGGGGAAACCCAGGCUAAUACCGCAUAAUAUCUAAGGAUUAAAGGAUGGGCCUUUAUGGCCAUUCGCAAAAGGAGGAACCUACGUCGGAUUAGCUUGUUGGUAGGGUAAAGGCCUACCAAGGCUACGAUCCGUAGCUGGUCUGAGAGGACGAACAGCCACACUGGGACUGAGACACGGCCCAG